rnacentral:rRNA from 1 species
GACGAACGCUGGCGGCGUGCUUAACACAUGCAAGUCGAACGGUGAAGCGCCUUCCUUUCUGGUGGGUGUGGAUGAGUGGCGAACGGGUGAGUAAGACGUGAGUAACCUGCCCCCUUCUUCUGGAUAACCGCAUGAAAGUGUGGCUAAUACGGGAUAUUCUGGGUCUGUUGCAUGUUGGGUCCGGGAAAGAUAUUGUUUCUGUGGGGGGUGGUCUCGCGGCCUAUCAGCUAGUUGGUGGGGUGAUGGCCUUCCAAGGCGGUGGUGGGUGGCCGGCCUGGGAGGGUGGACGGUCAAGCUGGGAGCGAGACACGGCCCAGCCACAGACGGGAGGGAGCAGGGCAGAAGAAAGAAGAACGGGCGCAAGCUUGAUGCAGCGAGGCCGCGUGAGGAAGGGAGGCCUUCGGGUUGAGAACCUCUUUCGCCAGGGAAGCAGGCCUGCUUAGAUUGUGCGGGAGUUGAGGGUAGCUGAAUAAAAGGCGCCGGCUAAUUAGUG